UACGUAGGUGGCUAGCGUUGUCCGGAUUUACUGGGCGUAAAGAGCGCGCAGGCGGUCGUUCAAGUCGAGUGUGAAAGCCCCCGGCUCAACUGGGGAGGGUCACGCGAUACUGAUCGACUGGAAGGCAGGAGAGGGUAGUGGAAUUCCCGGUGUAGUGGUGAAAUGCGUAGAUAUCGGGAGGAACACCAGUGGCGAAGGCGACUACCUGGCCUGUUCUUGACGCUGAGGCGCGAAAGCUAGGGGAGCAAACGGG
rnacentral:rRNA from 1 species